rnacentral:rRNA from 1 species
UCAGUUCAGAUCGUAGGCUGCAACUCGCCUACGUGAAGGAGGAAUCGCUAGUAAUCGCAGGUUAGCAUACUGCGGUGAAUACGUUCCCGGGCCUUGUACACACCGCCCGUCACACCAUGGAAGUUGGCCACGCCCGAAGCCGUUACUCCAACCCUCGGGAGGAGGACGUCGAAGGUGGGGCUGAUGACUGGGGUGAAGUCGUAACAAGGUAUCCGUACCGGAAGGUGCGAAUGGAUCACCUCCUAA